AAUGUAUUUGGGACUCUUUUUUGCACUUGUAAGGAAAAUUUUCUUGUCAAAAGUAUUAGAAACCAUUCUCAAGACUACUGUGUGCAAGGUGGAGAUCAGCACUGGAAGAAGAAAACACUUUUAGAAAGACUAGGUUUUCCUGGAGAGAGCUCUUUCUUCUGCCUGACAGAGAAUAGCAAUUCCCAAGCUGUCUGGAUUACUCUGUCUGGAAGGAGAAUCUGGGAACCAUCCUUCAACCUUAGCUGAGCUUCCAAGAAUAUAAGGGAAACUCCUGGAAGCCACAUACACAAGCUUCUCCUAAUUUUGGAACUACCACAUCACUAGCUGUUGGAUGACAAUUCACAGGCUGCACUAAAACAUAAACACACCAUUGAAGAAAUCAGACUACGAAU